GCCUAGGUAGCUUGGAGGGUAGCGUGACCGCCUUGUAAGCGCUAGGUCGCGGGUUCGAUUCCCGCCCUUAGCA
rnacentral:tRNA from 1 species